UUUGUUCCAGGGUAGGAUCCAUGUUUUCUGUUUGGUUUUAUCUAGGAUUUAUAAUCAUUUUUUUGGGUUUGACAAUGUUCUUCAACUUUAGUUUAUGUGUUGUUCAGAGAAGAAGAGUUUUGUUUGGGUAAGGAAAGAGAGGUUGGGAAGAAUGUGGGAAUUAAGGUUCCUUGAUGAACCGUUUUUCUAUCUUAAGAAUGAUGUGUUGGGUUGUGUCCUUUUAGGACCCGCUUUGGCCCGCGUCCAACGUUGUCAGGCUGGAGAUGAUGGGCCGCGCCCCCUCAUUUGCUUUUUUGACCCUGCUAUUUUUCUUCUUUACUUAUUCUUUAUUCGAUUUUCUUUUUUUAAACUUAUUUAUUUUUAAAAGUUAUUUAUUUAUUUAUUCAUUUAAGUUUAAGGUGAU
rnacentral:lncRNA from 1 species